UACGUAGGGGGCAAGCGUUGUCCGGAUUUAUUGGGCGUAAAAGAGCUCGUAGGCGGUUUGUCGCGUCGACUGUGAAAACCCACGGCUCAACCGUGUGGCCUGCAGUCGAUACGGGCAGACUAGAAUUCGGUAGGGGAGACUGGAAUUCCCGGUGUAGAGGUGAAAUUCGUAGAUAUCGGGAGGAACACCUGUGGCGAAGGGCGGCCCACCUGGAAGACAACUGACGGCUGAGACGCGAAAAGCGUGGGUAGCAAACAGG
rnacentral:rRNA from 1 species